UGGGGAAUAUUGCACAAUGGGGGAAACCCUGAUGCAGCGACGCCGCGUGAGCGAAGAAGGCCUUCGGGUCGUAAAGCUCUUUUAUGAGGGAAGAUAAUGACGGUACCUCAAGAAAAAGCCCCGGCUAACUACGUGCCAGCAGCCGCGGUAAUACGUAGGGGGCUAGCGUUGUCCGGAAUCACUGGGCGUAAAGGGUUCGCAGGCGGUCAAUUAAGUCUGAUGUGAAAGCCCCCGGCUCAACCGGGGAGGGUCAUUGGAAACUGGUUGACUUGAGUGCAGAAGAGGAGAGUGGAAUUCCAUGUGUAGCGGUGAAAUGCGUAGAUAUAUGGAGGAACACCAGUGGCGAAGGCGACUCUCUGGUCUGUAACUGACGCUGAGGCUCGAAAGCGUGGGUAGCAAACAGG
rnacentral:rRNA from 1 species